rnacentral:rRNA from 1 species
CCUACUGGGGUCUGCAGUGAGGAAUAUUGGUCAAUGGGAGAGAUCCUGAACCAGCCAAGCCGCGUGAAGGAAGACGGCCCUCUGGGUUGUACACCUCUUUUGUCGGAGAACAAAACCCGGGCCGUGUCCCGGACUGCGUGUAUCCGAAGAAAAAGCAUCGGCUACCUCCGUGCCAGCAGCCGCGGUACUACGGAGGAUGGGAGCGUUAUCCGGAUUUAUUGGGUUUACAGGGUGCGUAGGCGGUGCGUUACGUCGGCGGGAAAAGUGCGGGGCUCAACCCCGUCGAGCAGGUGAACAUGGCAGACUUGAGAUGGCGAGAAGUACGCGGAAUGCGCGGUGUAGCGGUGAAAUGCAUAGAGAUCGCGCAGAACUCCGAUUGCGAAGGCAGCGUACCGGCGCCAGACUGACGCUGAGGCACGAAAGCGUGGGGAUCGAACAGGAUUAGAUACCCUGGUAGUC